rnacentral:rRNA from 1 species
UACAGAGGGUGCGAGCGUUAAUCGGAAUUACUGGGCGUAAAGCGCACGUAGGCGGCUUGGUAUGUCGGGUGCGAAAUCCCCGGGCUCAACCUGGGAACUGCAUCCGAAACUGCCUUGCUCGAGUAUGGGAGAGGGAAGUGGAAUUUCCGGUGUAGCGGUGAAAUGCGUAGAUAUCGGAAGGAACAUCAGUGGCGAAGGCGACUUCCUGGACCAAUACUGACGCUCAGGUGCGAAAGCGUGGGGAGCAAACAGG